AAAGGAAUUGACGGGGACCCGCACAAGCGGUGGAGCAUGUGGUUUAAUUCGAAGCAACGCGAAGAACCUUACCAAGUCUUGACAUCCCAUUGACAGCGUAUGUAAUGUAUGUUCCCUUCGGGGCAAUGGAGACAGGUGGUGCAUGGUUGUCGUCAGCUCGUGUCGUGAGAUGUUGGGUUAAGUCCCGCAACGAGCGCAACCCUUAUCUUUAGUAGCCAGCAUGUUAUGGUGGGCACUCUAGAGAGACUGCCGGGGAUAACCCGGAGGAAGGUGGGGAUGACGUCAAAUCAUCAUGCCCCUUAUGAUUUGGGCUACACACGUGCUACAAUGGCGUAAACAGAGGGAGGCGAAAGGGUGACCUGGAGCAAAUCCCAAAAAUAACGUCCCAGUUCGGAUUGUAGUCUGCAACUCGACUACAUGAAGCUGGAAUCGCUAGUAAUCGCAGAUCAGAAUGCUGCGGUGAAUACGUUCCCGGGUCUUGUACACACCGCCCGU
rnacentral:rRNA from 1 species